rnacentral:rRNA from 1 species
CCUACGGGGGGCUGCAGUGGGGAAUAUUGGACAAUGGGGGCAACCCUGAUCCAGCCAUGCCGCGUGUGUGAAGAAGGCCCUCGGGUUGUAAAGCACUUUCAGUGAGGAAGAACGCCUGGUGGUUAAUACCCAUCAGGAAAGACAUCACUCACAGAAGAAGCACCGGCUAACUCCGUGCCAGCAGCCGCGGUAAUACGGAGGGUGCGAGCGUUAAUCGGAAUUACUGGGCGUAAAGCGCGCGUAGGUGGCUUGAUAAGCCGGUUGUGAAAGCCCCGGGCUCAACCUGGGAACGGCAUCCGGAACUGUCAAGCUAGAGUGCAGGAGAGGAAAGUGGAAUUCCCGGUGUAGCGGUGAAAUGCGUAGAGAUCGGGAGGAAUACCAGUGGCGAAGGCGGCCUACUGGACUGAAACUGACGCUGAGGCGCGAAAGCGUGGGUAGCAAACAGGAUUAGAUACCCCUGUAGUC